ACUUUGAGGGGCACUGAGUGCACGCACAUCUGCUCCAGGUCUGCAGGAACUACGGCCCUGUGAAGAACAAGGGUUGUCAGGAGAUAUGUUUCUGGUCUUUUAUUGUUUGGACAACUGGAAGGCUUUUGUUUGUGUGCUAAACUGCUCCCAUAUGUGCUAAUACACACGAGGGAUUAUUCUUCACCCCCGAAUCCUUUCAUCGUAAUAAAACACGUCUGGAAGAUGAGAAAACCAAAAAAUCCCCCGAUGGUCUGAACAAAAGGCAGCUCCCUCCCCCCGCCACACAUAUUUUUCACUAAACAUCAUUUUCAACCAGUUGUAGCUUCGCUCAGGAAACUCAUGCUCGGGCAAGUUACAUGUUAAAACUUACCUCCCUCUUAGCAGGAUUUGCACAAUGUUUUUGCUUGUGGCAGCUGGCCACAGCCUGGCUGAUUCUGAGUAGCUCAGCCUCUGGAGAGCCAUAUUUUGCGAGCUAUCAGCAUGUGCUUGGCAUGCCCACGUUUGCUCGGUAAGAAAAAUGUAGGUGGACAACCAGGAUUGUUUCCAUAUCCGUCUAAAAUAAUUGAACUGUAAGUUGCAAAUGUAACUUGCAGAUUUAAUCCUUUUUUUUUUUUUUUUUAUUAGUCUCAUUUCUAAUGUCAGUGAUAUUUACAUAACAGGAUGGAAACAUACGGAAAGCGAGGAGGUGGCUGAGCAAUGAAUGAUUUAUUAGCGGUUCCAUUUGGUGCUCUGGUCCAAAACAAACGAGGCACGGCAUAUGGCUAACUUAUUUCUUGUUUGUAUGUAAUAAAAGAUGGACACUAAUACCUCCCAGCUUGAUCUUUAAUCACAUAUAUUUGCUUCUCAAUCUAGUUUUAAAGUGGAACAUCUAUAAAGUGAUCCCUGAAGAGCUUACAAUGGGAAUCCAGCAGAAACGAUCCUUUGGAUAUCUCUUUGUGCCGCAUGAGGAGGGAAGCAACGAAGUGCUGUGAAUUAGCCCGAGCUGUAGAGAUUGUAGGCAGUGCUGGUGGCGGUGCGCGCAGAGCCUCCCCGCGCGGCGCCGAGCGGAGCAGCCCCCCCUCCCCUGGCCGCCAUGGCUCUCUAAGGGCGGCAGGGCCAGCGGCGGCACCGGCCAGUGCACCAGGCGCAGCAGCAGCGGCGGCGGCCUCGGCACAUCCCCGGCAUCUGCAACCAUGGCGUGAGUAUCGGGUGUGAGGGGCGGGAGCUCGCUCCCCUG
rnacentral:lncRNA from 1 species